ensembl:miRNA mir-1829.2 ncRNA
CAACCACUGGAAUUUCUCUAUU